UACAGAGGUCUCAAGCGUUGUUCGGAUUCAUUGGGCGUAAAGGGUGCGUAGGCGGCGCGGUAAGUCGGGUGUGAAAUCUCGGGGCUUAACUCCGAAACUGCAUUCGAUACUGCCGUGCUUGAGGACUGGAGAGGAGACUGGAAUUUACGGUGUAGCGGUGAAAUGCGUAGAUAUCGUAAGGAAGACCAGUGGCGAAGGCGGGUCUCUGGACAGUUCCUGGACGCUGAGGCACGAAGGUCAGGGGAGCAAACGGG
rnacentral:rRNA from 1 species